GAAUUUUGGACAAUGGGCGAAAGCCUGAUCCAGCAAUGCCGCGUGCAGGAUGAAGGCCUUCGGGUUGUAAAAUGCUUUUGUACGGAACGAAAAGCUUUGGGUUAAUACCCUGGAGUCAUGACGGUACCGUAAGAAAAAGCACCGGCUAACACAGUGCCAGAAGCCGAGGUAAAACGGAGGGUGCAAGCGUUAAUCGGAAUUUCUGGGCGUAAAGCGUGCGCAGGCGGUUUUGGAAGACAGAGGUGAAAUCCCCGGGCUCAACCUGGGAACUGCCUUUGUGACUGCAAGGCUAGAGUACGGCAGAGGGGGGUGGAAUUCCGCGUGUAGCAGUGAAAUGCGUAGAUAUGCGGAGGAACACCGAUGGCGAAGGCAACCCCCUGGGCCUGUACUGACGCUCAUGCACGAAAGCGUGGGGAGCAAACA
rnacentral:rRNA from 1 species